AUUGAACGCUGGCGGCAGGCCUAACACAUGCAAGUCGAACGGUAACAGGAAACAGCUUGCUGUUUCGCUGACGAGUGGCGGACGGGUGAGUCAUGUCUGGGAAACUGCCUGAUGGAGGGGGAUAACUACUGGAAACGGUAGCUAAUACCGCAUAACGUCGCAAGCCCAAAGAGGGGGACCUUCGGGCCUCUUGCCAUCGGCUGUGCCCAGAUGGGAUUAGCUAGUAGGUGGGGUAACGGCUCACCUAGGCGACGAUCCCUAGCUGGUCUGAGAGGAUGACCAGCCACACUGGAACUGAGACACGGUCCAGACUCCUACGGGAGGCAGCAGUGGGGAAUAUUGCACAAUGGGCGCAAGCCUGAUGCAGCCAUGCCGCGUGUAUGAAGAAGGCCUUCGGGUUGUAAAGUACUUUCAGCGGGGAUGAAGGGAGUAAAGUUAAUACCUUGGCUCAUUGACGUUACCCGCAGAAGAAGCACCGGCUAACUCCGUG
rnacentral:rRNA from 1 species